GAUGAACGCUGGCGGCGUGCCUAAUACAUGCAAGUCGAGCGAACAGACGAUGCUCUUGCUCCUCUCACGUUAGCGGCGGACGGGUGAGUAACACGUGGAUCACCUCCCUAUAUUACUGGUAUCACUUCGGGAAUCCGGCUCUUAUACCGUAUAAUAUCUUGAACCGCAUUGUUCAAUAGUGAAAGUCGGUUUUUCUGUCUCUUCUAGCUGCAUCCGGGCCGCAUUAGCUAGUUGGUAAGGUAACGGCUUACCAAGGCAACGAUGCGUAGCCGACCUGAGAGAGGGAUAGGCGGCACUGGAACGGAGACACGGACAAGAGGCCUAAGGGAGGCAGCAGUAGGGAAUGUUACGCAAUGGGCGAAAGCAUGACGGAGCAACGCGGCGUGAGUGAUGAAGGUGUUCGGAGCGUAAAAAUCUGUUAUGAGGGAAGAACAAAUGUGGAAGGAAAUAUACACGUAGUGACGGUACCGAAUCAGAAAGCAACGGCUAACUACGUG
rnacentral:rRNA from 1 species